rnacentral:rRNA from 1 species
AGUCAAUAGAUACCCUGGUAGUCCUAGCCGUAAACGAUACACGCUAGGUGUCGGCCACGGUGCGACCGUUGUCGGUGCCGUAGGGAAAGCCGUGAAGCGAGCCACCUGGGAAGUACGGCCGCAAGGCUGAAACUUAAAGGAAUUGGCGGGGGAGCACCACAACGGGUGGAGCUUGCGGUUUAAAUUGGAUUCAACGCCGGAAAUCUUACCGGGACCGACAGCAAUAUGAAGGCCAGGCUGAAGACUUUACCGGAUUAGCUGAGAGGUGGUGCAUGGCCGUCGUCAGUUCGUACUGUGAAAGCAUCCUGUUAAGUCAGGCAACGAGCGAGACCCACGCCACAGUUGCCAGCGUACUCUCUGGAGUGACGGGUACACUGUGGGGACCGCCGCUGCUAAAGCGGAGGAAGGAAUGGGCAACGGUAGGUCAGUAUGCCCCGAAUAUCCCGGGCUACACGCGAGCUACAAUGGUUGGUACAAUGGGUAUCUACCCCGAAA